GACGAACGCUGUCGGCGUGCUUAACACAUGCAAGUCGAACGGAAAGGCCCUGCUUUUGUGGGGUGCUCGAGUGGCGAACGGGUGAGUAACACGUGAGUAACCUGCCCUUGACUUUGGGAUAACUUCAGGAAACUGGGGCUAAUACCGGAUAGGAGCUCCUGCUGCAUGGUGGGGGUUGGAAAGUUUCGGCGGUUGGGGAUGGACUCGCGGCUUAUCAGCUUGUUGGUGGGGUAGUGGCUUACCAAGGCUUUGACGGGUAGCCGGCCUGAGAGGGUGACCGGCCACAUUGGGACUGAGAUACGGCCCAGACUCCUACGGGAGGCAGCAGUGGGGAAUAUUGCACAAUGGGCGGAAGCCUGAUGCAGCAACGCCGCGUGCGGGAUGACGGCCUUCGGGUUGUAAACCGCUUUCGCCUGUGACGAAGCGUGAGUGACGGUAAUGGGUAAAGAAGCACCGGCUAACUACGUGCCAGCAGCCGCGGUGAUACGUAGGGUGCGAGCGUUGUCCGGAUUUAUUGGGCGUAAAGGGCUCGUAGGUGGUUGAUCGCGUCGGAAGUGUAAUCUUGGGGCUUAACCCUGAGCGUGCUUUCGAUACGGGUUGACUUGAGGAAGGUAGGGGAGAAUGGAAUUCCUGGUGGAGCGGUGGAAUGCGCAGAUAUCAGGAGGAACACCAGUGGCGAAGGCGGUUCUCUGGGCCUUUCCUGACGCUGAGGAGCGAAAGCGUGGGGAGCGAACAGGCUUAGAUACCCUGGUAGUCCACGCUGUAAACGGUGGGUACUAGGUGUGGGGUCCAUUCCACGGGUUCCGUGCCGUAGCUAACGCUUUAAGUACCCCGCCUGGGGAGUACGGCCGCAAGGCUAAAACUCAAAGGAAUUGACGGGGUCCCGCACAAGCGGCGGAGCAUGCGGAUUAAUUCGAUGCAACGCGUAGAACCUUACCUGGGUUUGACAUGGAUCGGGAGUGCUCAGAGAUGGGUGUGCCUCUUUUGGGGUCGGUUCACAGGUGGUGCAUGGCUGUCGUCAGCUCGUGUCGUGAGAUGUUGGGUUAAGUCCCGCAACGAGCGCAACCCUUGUUCACUGUUGCCAGCACGUUAUGGUGGGGACUCAGUGGAGACCGCCGGGGUCAACUCGGAGGAAGGUGGGGAUGACGUCAAGUCAUCAUGCCCCUUAUGUCCAGGGCUUCACGCAUGCUACAAUGGCUGGUACAGAGAGUGGCGAGCCUGUGAGGGUGAGCGAAUCUCGGAAAGCCGGUCUCAGUUCGGAUUGGGGUCUGCAACUCGACCUCAUGAAGUCGGAGUCGCUAGUAAUCGCAGAUCAGCAACGCUGCGGUGAAUACGUUCCCGGGGCU
rnacentral:rRNA from 1 species